rnacentral:rRNA from 1 species
GAUGAAUGCUGGCGGCGUGCCUAAUACAUGCAAGUCGAGCGGUAACAUGGAAUAGCUUGCUAUUCUGAUGACGAGCGGCGGACGGCUGAGUAACGCGUGGGAACGGACCCCCAAACUGAGGGAUAACUAUUCGAAAGAGUAGCUAAUACCGCAUGUGAUCUUCCGGGAUUAAAAGGAUUUAUCCGGUUUGGGACUGGCCUGCGUACGAUUAGAUAGUUGGUGAGGUAACGGCUCACCAAGUCGACGAUCGUUAGAUGGUUUGAGAGGAUGAUCAUCCAGACUGGGACUGAGACACGGCCCAGACUCCUACGGGAGG